rnacentral:lncRNA from 1 species
CCGCUCACUCAAUAAAUCAUCUGGACCGUCCAAAGUUUGAAAUAAAUCCCACCGUCCAUACAAUAUCGGAGUCACGGACACAACUAAUUAGUUGAUAAUUCACUAUACAUGAAUGAACGUAGUGAUAAUACAACUCGUCACAUAAUUUAAUAUCCAUCUUUUGUAACCAUUCUUUUGUCACCAAGUUACUAUUAUUUUCAUUCACUUCAUUGCAUAAUUUACAUCUCUGUACGUAAACUUUAAUGUGUUUUUUAUGUCCCAC